GCGAUCAGAUACCGCCCUAGUUCUAACCAUAAACGAUGCCAACCAGCGAUCCGCCUGAGUUCCUCAAAUGACUCGGCGGGCAGCUUCCGGGAAACCAAAGUGUUUGGGUUCCGGGGGAAGUAUGGUUGCAAAGCUGAAACUUAAAGGAAUUGACGGAAGGGCACCACCAGGAGUGGAGCCUGCGGCUUAAUUUGACUCAACACGGGAAACUUACCCGGCCCGGACACUGGAAGGAUUGACAGAUUAAGAGCUCUUUCUUGAUUCAGUGGGUGGUGGUGCAUGGCCGUUCUUAGUUGGUGGAGCGAUUUGUCUGGUUAAUUCCGAUAACGAACGAGACUCUAGCCUACUAAAUAGGCGUUCCGAUCCUUUAUGUCGGACGUUCUUCUUAGAGGGACAGGCGGCUUUUAGCCGCACGAGACAGAGCAAUAACAGGUCUGUGAUGCCCUUAGAUGUCCGGGGCCGCACGCGCGCUACACUGAAGGAAUCAGCGUGUGCUUUCCCUGUCUGGUAGGACUGGGUAACCCGUUAAACCUCCUUCGUGAUAGGGAUAGGGGCUUGUAAUUCUUCCCCUUGAACGAGGAAUUCCCAGUAAGCACGAGUCAUAAGCUCGUGUUGAUUACGUCCCUGCCCUUUGUUCACACUGCCCGUCGCUACUACCGAUUGAAUGAUUUAGUGAGGUCUUCGGACUGGCGCUCGUAGCGACCAUUGGCCGCGCCGACGUGCCGGAAAGAUGACCAAACUUGAUCAUUUAGAGGAAGUAAAAGU
rnacentral:rRNA from 1 species